CGUAAAUUGGUUCGGUGUAUCACGUGACAACUUGGCGGUUUCAAAAUUAAUGUGGUGGAUGCUGGCAAAAUAACAAUUAGAAAAGAUGUCUCACUUAAACAUGACAUACCCAAAGAAGAAGAGGAAGAGAUCAGUUACUGGCAAUCCUCCCGAAUUGCCACAGAAUACUUGUGUCUUUUGUCGUUCGACUGAAGACUGUGAAGAGGAUUAUGGGAAGGUCAUUAAGAAAUGUGGUUUCACUGUCCACUACUUCUGCAUGCUGUUUGCGAGUGGCCUCAGCCAGAGUGGCAAGACAGAAACACAAGGAAUCUUUGGCUUCAUGCCAGGAGACAUUCGACGCGAGCUCAAGAGAGGCAAUAGGCUGCGCUGCACCUACUGCAAGGAGAGGGGGGCAACUAUCGGCUGCGUGGUCACAUCAUGUCGCAAGGCAUUCCACCUGACUUGUGGCCGCAAGAAGGGAUCACUGCAUCAGUUCUACGACUCCUUCAGGUCCUACUGUCCCGAUCACCGGCCGCGCCAGACUGUGCAGAUCAGCGACCGCCUGGCGUUUGUAGGGACAGCGAACACUGUGUGCAGCAUCUGUAUGUACGCUGUCGUAGCCCGCUCCUCCCACGAGACCAUGAGGGCACCCUGCUGCAAGAACUCCUGGUUUCACCGCUCCUGCAUACAGAGAUAUGCUAUGUCUGCUGGUCUGUAUUUCUUCAAAUGUCCGCUGUGCAACAGCAAGGACUUGUUCCAGUCGGAGAUGCUUCAUUGUGGCAUAUACAUCCCUGAUCAAGAUGCAUCAUGGGAGCGAGAGCCAAAUGCCUACCAAGAUCUGUAUGAGAGAUACUCCCACUGUGAUGCUGCCAAGUGCAAGUGUCUGCAAGGGCGAGAUUAUGACCAAGAUGACACGAAGUGGGAGAUCAUAGUCUGUGAGUACUGUGGCUCCAAGGGCAGCCAUGCCGCCUGUCGGGGCCUGGAACUUAUACGCAAAGAAUACGCCUGUGGAGAGUGUGCAGAGAUCGAGAAGAAAAGAGUUAAAAAACGUGGAAAGAAGAGCCCACCUCGAGUUCGGAACAGAACCCAAGCCGAACUUCAACACCUUUUGGAAGUGAGGGUUGCUGAACUUGUCACACAAAAAUCCAACCAGAAUACACCCAAUUCUAAACAGCCAACACCUAAAUCUAAAGCCGGCACGCCCUCCCUUGGUUCUCUGCGGUCAGUGCGGCGGUCAAGGAGAGAUCAACGUGGAGAUGUUGUGGUCAUGCAGCAGGAAGGAACAGACGCUGAGGUGGACGUGGAGGGUUUGGGGAGUGACGAAGAUCCCUCAUCCUCAGAAACUCCUGCCAUGAAGAAAAGACGACUCAGUUUGCAACGGUCAUCUCGAUCCCAGACUAAGAGAAUAGGAAGACAUAUUGGCACCAUGAGCAGUGAUUCACGUUCGUCGAGUAUUCCUAGCACAAGGGGAAAGUAUUCUAAUUAUGUAACUCUGUCGACAGUGACAGACACGGAGGUGAGGAAGUGGGGUACAACAGAAACAGAGUCGUCCAACUCUGCAUCCUUGCUCAAUUACAUGGAUGAUAGUGACGAUGUGUCGCAGACAUCGGACAGUGACAGUGAGAUCUGUGCAGUGGAUGAAGUACACGAGGACUCCACGAAGAAGACAGUGACCAUCAAAUGGAAAGGGAAGAAGAUCAAAAUCUACAAAGAAGUGGAGAAGGAUGACAGUGAGGAUAUAUCCAAAUGGAGUCUUCAUCUGGAGGUGGGUGACUCGGAUGACCUUCAACCCUCCACAUCCCAGACGCCACCGCCAGACGGAGGGAAGGUCAAGGAGGAGUCACCCCCUCAACUUGUUCCAAUAGAUGAUGAAAUAACCAUCCGAUGCACGCCUCCAACCCGACCGUACAUGCUGAAUGUGAAAGCUAACUCGGUCAAACAGCAGACGGACAAAAUCAAGGGAGAAGAUGUAAAAUGUGAGGAAGCUCCACCUGUUCUGUAUUCUGUUUGGGAGGAGGAUUCUCAGACAGGGGGCAGUCGAAUUACACGCAGCAUGUCUGUCGAUAGCAAAAAUAGUUGCAGCCAAGAUUAUAUUGACUCUAUUGACAUCAUGUCACGUAAUUCAAACACACCCAGACAUUCAAGAAGGUCGCUAGAAUGUGCCUUUACUUCUCAUGAUAAUCGAUCCAAGUCGCCCUGUUUGGGUAAAAGAUUCCGUGAGAAUGAUGCUGAGAGUAUUUCAUCAGCAGCCAACUCAGUCAUCACCUUGUCCUCAAAUGUGAGUGAUACUGGUGAGAACGAAAGUGACUGCCUGAUAGUCGAACCUGUGUAUGUGACCGAGAACCAACGAAACGUGUCGGACGGUAAGGUGUCCUAUUCAGCACAGAUUGCCGUGGGGAGUCCAUUCAAGGAUGGGGAGUACCCCGAGACUGUGCCUUACCGCCGGAUUACAACAGGGCAUGGCAGUGUAGGCGUUGUGAUAGACUUGACUGACAGUCCGUCCGAGACAUGGCUCGGCUUUGCUGAUACUGAUAACUCAUCGAGAUCAAACAGGUCAUCGUAUUCAUAAUUAGUCAGGAACUUUUAGAAACAUUGAUAGUUGAACUAUUCAGUGAAGUGAUGAUCAUUACAGUUGUCAUGGUAAUAUGCACAUAGAUGACGUUCUUGAAAUUGUAGGCCAGCCAAGUCUGUGGCUCUUGGACAGUAAAAUCAUCAGCUUACUUUGUUUCAUGGACGAAAACUAGAAGUUCUGAUACUGACUCAGAUUUUGGGUGGGAAUAAUUAUAAGGAAAUAAAGCCGUUGGGUUCUCAGGCCUCGUGCAUCAGGGAAACACAUGGGCAUCAAGAUCAUUUGUAAUCUGCGGUAAGACCUACGAGGGAACACUGAACCUCUGGAAGCUCCAGAGGUUAGGACAAAAGUCAGAAAGUUUUAUUCUGAGAACCAGUUUUUAUUUUUUUAAACUUUAAUUAGGUUCAUGGUAAUGUAGUUGUACCGCACAAGACUUCUUUUAUUAAAAGAUGUGUAGAAAAAUAUAAUUGCUUGCCAAUUAGCCUCAGUUAAAUUAUCCAUGUAACCAUGGUAACUAUGGUGUAAUGGAACCAGUUUAGAUUUUUGGUUUGACCCAGGGUUCCUGAUGGUCACAUUUGUUUUCAUUUCUCCACUGGGUGGAUUGUCUGCAAGAACUGCUGAUGUGGUAUUUAGCCAAAUGCUCUGACUUCAGUGACACAAGAUAUAAUUGACUCUAGCUUUCAGUGAGAGGUGUUUUGUGUAUUUUGAAACAAAGCAAAAUUUUGUAUUCAUUCAUCUUGAAACACAGGCUAGAUGUGUGUGUGUUGACAGAUGUCGUCGUUUAUUCUCUUUGUGUUUACUGCAAGGUACCGCUUCUUUUUUUAUAUUGAAAAAGAAAGGUUUAAAUACUAAGUUUUACAUUAUUGCAUUGCAUGCAUGCAGAAAUACAUGUAAAUUUAAGAAUGUAACAACAUUAACAAGAUUUAAAAAGCCCUGUAAAUGAAUUUUGGACAUUAUUGUUUUUUACAGUUUUUGUUGCCACUGGCACUUCGUAUAUAGAAAUAUCCAUGGCAGAUGUAUAGAGAAGGUUGUCCAGUCUUUCAUGGAGCAGGGUUUAAUAGAUUAAACAUUGCAUCUUUUUACCUAGAAAAAGUACAUGUAUUAGAACCGGUGUUAUAAUGCUAAAGUGACUGAAUAUAUUUCGGUUAUAUUCCUUUUUUCUCCUGAUAUGUCGGAGUGAUACUAUUGGGUUUCCUGAGCUGACAUUUUCAGAAGGAUGUCCAAAUAUUCACAAUAUUUGUUGACAAUGAUGAUUUUACAAUGCUGUGCAAGUUUCUCACAUAUUUCAAAGAGUUUGUUUCCACUCCCUGCGGAAUGGCAGUUGGCUUUGAACGACUACACAGCUUCUAUAUUGUAUGCUUUCAUCAAUGUAGUUUCGUGUACAGUCAGUAUAUUUAUUUUUUGGAAAUGGCUGAGUAUUUGUUGUAGCCCUCGUGGAAGUAAUGUUGAAUAAUUCUUGUAUUGAUGGAUGCCGUUUUCUCCGUAUUUGACACCCUGUACCAAUAAGUGCCCCCGACCAACUUCUAGACCAAUCUGUGAGUAAUCUAUAGGUGCUCCCUACUAACAGUAAAUAGUUUUGUGAUAGUCUGUAUUUUCUUCAGAUUUCUGAAGGUGUAGAAGGAUAUAUAAUCGCCUGAUGACUUAUCAAAAAAGUUUUUUAAGUUUUGGUGACGUUGGACCUAAGUUUGUUCACUACCAUUCGAUCUCUGAAGAUAAAUUGGGGGGCAUGGGUGGCCCAGUCGCUGUGCAGAGUUGUGUCCCUUGGGCACGCCAGAAACCUAUGAUUGUGUGUUCGAAUCUCGGUUCGCCCCGAUUAUGUUUCUAGGUUUGUCAGCACCAUACCCGUGCUCGUAGGUUUCACCAAAGUGGUAAAUGUCUGAGACCUGCAUCACUUCGGGCUUUCCUCCCUUUUUAAUACUGUUAAAAGCGGUGUUAAACCCAACUCACUCACUCGCUGAGCAUAAAUUGAGCUUCUUAGUUUUGGUUUUAAAAAACACACUCCUUUGUCAAUUUUCCAAGCCCCCCAAGGUGCUUAUUUUGGUAAAUACAGUAAUGUUUAAAAAGCUGGAAAUUUUGGUGAGCUACAGAACUUCUUUGCUGUAUUUUCAUUAUAGUUUUGGGACAAUAUGCAUCCUUUUUUAAAGGACCGGGUAGAAUAAGGGCCUUUUUGGACCACAAGAUGUACAUGAUUUAAAAAUUGAGGAAAACUUGAGAAAUUGUUAUGAAAGUUUAUCAGGUAUGUUCACAUGAAUGAGAACUAAACUUUGUUCAGUGAAACAACUGCAUGUUUGCUUCACAACAGUCAUUUCAUAAGAGGAUAAAAUGUGUUAUUGAGGCUGAUUUUAGAGGCUUCCAUGAGCAAAUCUUUGACCUAAGGUGAUUUUCAUAGAUGUGCAGAAGAACAUAAGUCAUGGUAAAAAAGUAAUCUUGGGUCACAGACUUGCUUGUACUUUGCCAUGUCUUGCUCUCGUUUUAGCCAUAUUUGUGUAUUUGACCAGGUCAGCUGUCCAGAACAUGCAAGUGUAAGAAAGAAAAAGGCGAGUUGUCAGCUGUUUGAACAUGGGUGAUACAAUUUCAUACCAUUGUUUCAAAGUUUUCAGCAACUUUAAAAUUUAACAUUGUUGUAGACCAAAAAGUGCCCUUAUCCUACCUCCUUUACGAUAUUAUGUCUUUCUUUAUGAUAGAUGCUUUCCAAUAUGUUAAACAGUUUCUGUCAUGUUCAUCUUGCAAUCAUAUUUUAAGUCGGUUUCAGCAAAUAUGCUGGCGUUGAUAGUGAUUAUGAAACAACAGCUGGUAUUGUAACCACAGUGUUUAUCACACACCUAUCGUGUCUCUAUAUCCGGUUUAUCACAUACCUAUCGUGUCUCUAUAUCCGGUUUAUCACACACCUAUUGUGUCUCUAUAUCUGGGUUAUCACACACCUAUCAUGUCUCUAUAUCCGGGUUAUCACACACCUAUCAUGUCUCUAUAUCCGGUUUAUCACACACCUAUCGUGUCUCUAUAUCCGGGUUAUCACACACCUAUCAUGUCUCUAUAUCCGGGUUAUCACACACCUAUCAUGACUCUAUAUCCGGGUUAUCACACACCUAUCAUGUCUCUAUAUCCGGUUUAUCUACACCUAUCAUGUCUCUAUAUCCGGUUUAUCACACACCUAUCGUGUCUCUAAAUCCGGUUUAUCACACACCUAUCGUGUCUCUAUAUCCGGGUUAUCACACACCUAUCAUGUCUAUAUCCUGUUUAUCACACACCUAUCAUGUCUCUACAUCAUGUAUAUCACACACCUAUCGUGUCCCUAUAUCCGGUUUAUCACACACCUAUCAUGUCUCUGUAUCCUGUUUAUCACACAGCUAUUUGUCCCGUAUAUCACACACCUGUUACUCUUUCCUAUAAGCGAAGCUCAUUUCUGGUGCCCCCGCCGGGAUAUUGCUGGAAUAUUGCUAAAAGCGGCCGAAAACCAUACUCACUCACUCACUGCUAGUUCUUGGGGUACAAUUGAAUGUUUUGUUUUCUUUAAAUUUCUUAGUGUUAUGUUUACUUUGGUGAUCAACUUUUGUCUCAGUUUAGAAUCAGAAUUUGAAUUCAGCUUUGCUCUCUUUUGUUUCGUGAUUAUUAUUUGGUUCAGUGAUUAUUUACUACAGCAUCAGCAUCAGCAUCAGCAGCACGGUUUUUUUAUCGUUUGGCCUGGCAUUGGUUGACCAAGAAAUAAACUCAGUCUGUUUGAACUGAAAGAUUUUACUACUACACCAGAAAAUGAAUUGAUUUCUUACAAA
rnacentral:misc_RNA from 1 species